rnacentral:rRNA from 2 species
UACGUAGGGGGCGAGCGUUGUCCGGAAUUAUUGGGCGUAAAGAGCACGUAGGCGGUUUACCAAGUCAGUUGUGAAAACCCGGGGCUCAACUCCGGGACGGCAAAUGAAACUGGUAGGCUUGAGGACAGGAGAGGAGAGUGGAAUUCCUAGUGUAGCGGUGAAAUGCGUAGAUAUUAGGAGGAACACCAGUGGCGAAGGCGACUCUCUGGCCUGUAACUGACGCUGAGGUGCGAAAGCUAGGGGAGCGAAC